CAAGUUCUGGAGGCAAGAACUGGAAACUGCCAAUCGAAACAGGCAUUGUGAUCUGGUGGCAAGAGCUUGCUGUCCUUCAUCCUGGGUUCUAGGAACAAUUCUGCUUGAUAUGUUCUAUGAUUUGUGGAAGAUCCCGGAGAAAGGAUGACAUUGAGAAGUCACCCCACCUCUGCCACCAAUGCCUGAUGGACAUAUAGCCUGAGACAUAGAUACAUCCUAUCAUUUAAGCCACUGAGAUUGAGAAUUUGGAGUUUGUUUUGACAGCAUAAGUUUACCUAACCAACUGAUACAUCUUCCAGCCUCAAACCCAAUCUUCCCUGUCCAGAGACAACCACGAUUAUGAAGUCAUUGGGAAUAGUUCCAUUCAUAUUUCCUAAAAAUUUCCAAAAGAGAAAGAGAAACAGAUAGAGCAAAGAGGGUGAGGGACAAGCAGUCUCUGCACUGAGCACAAAGCCUGACACGGAGUUUGAUCCUAUGACCCUGACAUCAUUACCUGAGCCAAAAGUCAUGAAUUGAUGUCUUCAAUGACUGAGCAACCCAGGUGAUCCUGUUGUUAGA